rnacentral:misc_RNA from 1 species
AACAAUUUUACCAUCGCAUGGCACCAUGACUUCCGGUCAAAACACGAUGUUUCCAGCUGCUGUUGCAACAGUUUUUGACAGUUGGACAGUCCUUCAGCUAGCUGUUACUCAAGGAUUUGGAGGUGCAGACAGCAGAGAAAAAGCAGAAUGGAUGAUUACAGCUGUUGACCAGUGGUUUAGAGAAAAUAAGGAUAUUGAUGACUAUGAAGUGGAAGAUUUCCUCGCUGAUAUUAUGAACACAGAAUUUGAUACUAUUGUUGAAGAUGGGAGCUUAUCACAGAUAUCUUCACUAAUAUGUAGGAUAUACAAACUUUGUCGUGAAGGCAAGGAAGCAGAAGUAAGGGAACUGGUAAAGGGUCUACCAAAAGCUGCUGUACAGAACUGUGCCAGAGUGGCUGGUACUGAUGAAACCAUUGAAGGGGAUGACGAGGUCAGAGAACAGAGCUGUAUUUUCAAGAGAAAAUUUAUUAUCAAAAAAAUAAAAUGUUUGUUUCAUGAUAUUAGGCUGUCCAAACUUAAUUCUUUGAUUAACGUCACUUCAAAAUACCAAACCUACAAGGGAGAGUGCUAAAAUUAAAACAAACAAAAUUUUCUAACUAAUGAUUUGUAUCCAUUUACAUUAUUAAAAUUCAAAUACAGUGAGUAUUCAAGCUACAUGUAGGCUACCUCUUUAAUAGUGAUCUUUCCUGACAAUCCAAUUGAGUAUCUGAUAUAUACACAUUGUCAUCCAUAAUGUGCUCUAAACAUUUUAAAAUCUACAGAUUGCAGUGUAUAGGAGUUUGGUUUUUUUUUUAAACACAAUUUCUCCUAAAGCUAUGCAUGUGGGUUAUGUUAAACAUAAAAUUAGCUUUGAAAAGCCUUAUGAUGAAAUUAAAAUAACAUAUUUUUGCUUUACAAUGGUUUCAGGUACACAGAAUUGCUAUUCUUAGUGUUUUGUAUUCACAGUACUGUCAUUAUACUUUCACAUCUUUUAUUUACAAAGUAUUUUUCUUUAUGUUUCCCCUACCCCUUCAAUACAACGAUUCAAGAUCAGAUGUUUGCUUUUCUCAUUUUUACCAUGAAAUCAAAAUAACUGUGUAAAUAUUUGUUUAAAUAUUUUUAUACCAUAAGCAUAGUAUUGAAACUAUACGCAUUUUCUUAACUUAAUACAUUUUCAGAGUGAAAUUAAUUAAAGCAAUUUCAAAUAUUCAUGUUUGCAUUUAGGAGAAUGUCAAUGAACAAGGGGGACAGAACUCUUCUAGUGUCAGCUCCUGUGGAGGGUUAACAAAUGGAAUGGAAAAUACAUGUACAUCACACCAAAGUACAAAGCAAGAAUCUACAGAAGAAACUAUGGAAACAGAAGAAGAAGACGCCUGGACUACAGUACACCGAGGAAAACGCAGAUAACACUGAACUGUGAUAAUUUUAAUACUGUAAAUAUUAGUCAAUAAAUUAUGUUACGCAA